CACUCACCGCCCGUCACAUCACUUGAAUCUGUUGCUCCCGAAGUCGCUGGCCGAACCCGUAAGGGACGGAGGCGCCGAAGGAGUGGCCGGGUGAGGAGGGGUG
rnacentral:rRNA from 1 species